AAUUUUCCAAAUCACCCAACUCCGAGGCCUAAUUACCAAUACACAUAAAUUUGAGGCUUUUGCUACAAAUUCUCAAUGGAACAUACAAAGACAAAAACUACUAAGAGUUUUAGGUCAGAAUUAAAAGAUAAUGAUCCUUUCACUUCAUUGAAGAUUAUUCUGGCCUUUACUGGCUCACCCAUGCAUCUAGCAUUAUUAAUGGUUGAAAUAGCACCAGUACAGAAACAAAGCAAUUUACAAAAUGGUGCGCUCAGUCUACUUUAUCACUCUUGUGUUCUGUCAUUACCAUCUGAUUUGU
rnacentral:misc_RNA from 1 species